rnacentral:tRNA from 1 species
CCCGUCGUAGCUCAGUGGUAGAGCGCCCGGCUCCGGCCCGGGUGGACGCUGGUUCGAGCCCGGUCGGCGAGGCCU